GGGGGAUAACAUUCGGAAACGGGUGCUAAUACCGCACAAUAUCUUCUUCCGCAUGGAACAAGAUUGAAAGACGGCUCUGCUGUCACUUAUAGAUGACCUUGCGGUGCAUUAGUUAGUUGGUGGGGUAACGGCCUACCAAUACGAUGAUGCAUAACCGACCUGAUAGGGUGAUCGGCCACAUUGGGACUGACACCCGGCCCCAACUCCUAAGGGAGGCAGCAGUAUGGAAUCUUCCGCAAUGGGCGAAAACCCGACGGAUUUAUGCCGCGUGAGAGGAAAAGGCCUUCGGGUUGUAGAACUCCGUUUAUAACACAAAAAAUAAUUGUAGACUAACUGCUACAGUCUUGACAGUACCUUAUCAAAAAGCUCCGGCUAAAUACGUGCCAGCAGCCGCGGUAAUACGUAGGUAGCAAGCGUUAUCCGGAUUUAUUGGGUGUAAAGGGAGCGCAAUGGCUUUCUCAAGUCUGAUGUGAAAGUCCACGGCUUAACCCCGGAACUUCUUUGGAAACUGUCAAACUUGAGUACAGAAGAGGUAUGUGGAAUUCCUAGUGUAGCGGUGAAAUGCGUAGA
rnacentral:rRNA from 1 species